UGGGGAGGCAUGGAUAUGAGAAUAUAUAUUAGGAUUAAAAUAGGUUUUGCUCUUUACUAACUGGAGCAUCCUGCUGUCCUCUUAUUCACUGAUUUCUGUGUGUUCAGCAACCAAUCAAAAGGAAUGGGAAAACUGCAUGGGGAGGUUGAGCGUGGCUGCCUAGCUUCUCUCGUAUAUAAAGUCUGUUAGAAUAUAUUUCAUGAAGUAGAAAUUUCUGUAGUGCAUAUGCAUACAUGCUUAUCAGGAAUGUCUGCUGCCAGGCAUGUCUUUUUUAUGAAACCUGAUGCAUAACAAAUUUAUUUGGCUACCGAUUAUGAAUAUUUGCUGUUUCAAUCAAUUUUUCUGCGCAUGCAGGAAAUAGAAUUAAAUUUGCAAUCUUAUUCAUAUUAGAACCAUGCAUUGCUCAAAUGCUGGAUUUACAAACAUCUACGCCCUGAAGACCUAGCCAAUAAUGUCAGCUUAUAAUAACUGAUAACACAAUAUGGUAUAUGGAGUCUGGGGUGCUAUUGUUACAGAUGAUGAGAAGUAGCAGAAGUUAGAGAAGUUUGCAAGUAGGCCAUUCCAACUUUAUUGUCAAAAAGAAUUUCUGAAAAAAAUGGGCCAAGUGUCUUAUUCUUGAAGUGUGAUUUUUCAGUGAUGUGGUGGCCCUUGAUUCGAGAACACUUGGGGUGGUAAAGCAACGAAGAAGUUCAGACUUGUGCAGAUCAUUGCAUACAACUAUUCUCAAAUGGGCAUCAUAAAAUUGUCACUCAAGUUUAGCUUGUUUGUGAAGAGUCAAGUAUUUGGGUCAUCAAGUUUCUCUGCAGGAGAUAUAGACAUAUUCAGGCAUGCAGACCAUAUGAUGGUCGAUUCUCUACAAAAUUGUGAAAGUUGGUUGAAUAGCAGGGUCAUUGUGGUCCCUUGUGAUAUUGAUGAAGUUUAAGACCUGUUGUGUAUGUGGGAUGCAAGGUUU
rnacentral:lncRNA from 1 species